GAGAAGUACUCCUGAAAACCAGAUAUAUAGGAACAUUUGCAGAAAGACAGAAUUAUCCAACAUUCAUCUAUGCUAUAUUGAUCUAAAAUGCUGUCUUAGUCAACUUUCCUUAUGCGCUAACAAGGUCAAAAUGUGCCACUUUCACAUGGAUUUCAGUGGACAAUUGAAACAUACCAAGCUCAGCAAUGUCAAAGAAUUGAGAAGGGAUUCUUGAGAUUUUUCUACUAGAGGCUAAGAGGUCUGACAACAUUGCUUCUCUUUGAGACAGCAUCAGCAAACACAAGGGAGCCAAACAAAAUAUUUGCUGAAUGAAGGACAAACUGACAAUAUGCCAUAUUGGAAUUUCCAUUGCUAUGACGGGCAGCUGGACUCACACACUAGCCUGGCAAUGAGACCCCGCCUACAGCCUUUGCAAAGGAGAUAAUGAACUACAGUAGGAGAUCAGAAGCCCCUUGGAACACACAAGAUACAUACCUAAGGAAAAGCAUGAGAUGGUCAGAUUUCCCAGACACCAAAACAAGAACCCCGGGGUUCCGCAGAACACC